GCUAAGCCAUAAACAUUGAUAGUUAAAUAUACAACACUUUCCGCCAGAGAACUACAAGUGAAAAACUUAAAACUCAAAGGACUUGGCGGUGUCCCACAUUCGACCUAGAGGAGCCUGUCCUAUAAUCGAUACUCCCCGCUCUACCUCACCAGCACUAGCACUAACUUCAGCCUAUAUACCGCCGUCGACAGCUUACCCCCUGAGGGUUUAACAGUAAGCACAAUAGUCCUACCACUAACACGUCAGGUCAAGGUGUAGCUAAUGUGCUGGCAGAGAUUGGCUACAUUUUUUACUUUAAAAAACACGAAAUGCUAUAUGAAAAACAGCAUGAAGGCGAAUUUAGUAGUAAAACAGACAAGAGAGUCUGCUUUAACAACGCUCUGGGACGCGU
rnacentral:rRNA from 1 species